rnacentral:rRNA from 1 species
CAGCAGCCGCGGUAAUACGUAGGUGGCAAGCGUUGUCCGGAAUUAUUGGGCGUAAAGGGCUCGCAGGCGGUUUCUUAAGUCUGACGUGAAAGCCCCCGGCUCAACCGGGGAGGGUCAUUGGAAACUGGGAAACUUAAGUGCAGAAGAGGAGAGUGGAAUUCCACGUGUAGCGGUGAAAUGCGUAGAGAUGUGGAGGAACAUCAGUGGCGAAGGCGACUCUCUGGUCUGUAACUGACGCUGAGGAGCGAAAGCGUGGGGAGCGAACAGGAUUAGAUACCCCGGUAGUCCCUGUCUUUUAUAC